CCUACGGGAGGCAGCAGUGGGGAAUAUUGGACAAUGGGCGAAAGCCUGAUCCAGCAAUGCCGCGUGAGUGAUGAAGGCCUUCGGGUCGUAAAGCUCUUUUACCAGGGAUGAUAAUGACAGUACCUGGAGAAUAAGCUCCGGCUAACUCCGUGCCAGCAGCCGCGGUAAUACGGAGGGAGCUAGCGUUGUUCGGAAUUACUGGGCGUAAAGAGUACGUAGGCGGUUAUUCAAGUCAGAGGUGAAAGCCCGGGGCUCAACCCCGGAACUGCCUUUGAAACUAGAUAACUAGAGUCUUGGAGAGGUUAGUGGAAUUCCGAGUGUAGAGGUGAAAUUCGUAGAUAUUCGGAAGAACACCAGUGGCGAAGGCGACUAACUGGACAAGUACUGACGCUGAGGUACGAAAGCGUGGGGAGCAAACAGGAUUAGAUACCCUGGUAGUCCACGCCGUAAACGAUGAUAACUAGUUGUUCGGUCACUUGGUGACUGAGUGACGCAGCUAACGCAUUAAGUUAUCCGCCUGGGGAGUACGGUCGCAAGAUUAAAACUCAAAGGAAUUGACCGGNUGAAGAGUGCGAGACGACGACGAGGAGAGG
rnacentral:rRNA from 1 species